rnacentral:rRNA from 1 species
UACGUAGGCAGCAAGCGUUGUUCGGAGUUACUGGGCGUAAAGGGUGUGUAGGCGGUUUUCUAAGUCGAACGUGAAAUCCCCGGGCUCAACCCGGGAACUGCGUCCGAUACUGGAAGGCUUGAAUCCGGGAGAGGGAUGUGGAAUUCCAGGUGUAGCGGUGAAAUGCGUAGAUAUCUGGAGGAACACCGGUGGCGAAGGCGACAUCCUGGACCGGUAUUGACGCUGAGGCGCGAAAGCCAGGGGAGCAAACGGG